rnacentral:lncRNA from 1 species
AUGUGUUUCGUUUUAUAUACAAUGCUCGUAUAUACACGUAUAUACAUACAUACAUAUAUUACAUGCAAGUGUAUAAGCUUGGUAGCAAGUUCCGAGUGGAAGGCAAAACCGAGUCAUUCAGUACUCGGAGAUGCAGUCUCGUGUGCUCGUCAAGUCCGGCCAUCGUUUAUUUUCACCAACGACGUUCUCCUACAAACUUUCAUAAAGCGUUGGUUAAACGCGCAUGAAAAACAAUUUGCGUAACGAGCGCGAGUGCUGCACGUCCCGUUAACGGAACGGGAGUGCUGGUCUGGUUUCUGAUGGAAGUGGUGAAACCCUACCGACUGUUUUUUUUUUAAGGGUGGAAACGAAAAAAUCGAAAAAAGAAAGAAGCAAUUUUUCUUCGGGGAAAGAAAAAUAAAUAAAUAUAAAUAUAUAGAAAAGAACGGGCGCGAUAAAACGUUCCAAAUGGUUUUACCCUGUUCGUUGAAAGUAAGAAAAGAAAGAAAAUAGAAAGAAAGAGAGAAAGUCUCUGUCUCUCUCUCGAGUAGUAAAACGAUCAAAAAAGUAAAAUCAUUUCGUUUGACAAUAACGACGACUGUAACUAAUAAGAAAAGAUAUACGUCGAAAUGUUGAAGGAAUUUAUUCUUUGAUUUAAGUAAUACUAAUAAUGUUGUUUUUCGCUAUUACAAAGUAUAAAAUGCUCGAUAAAAACUCGACACUAAAAAUGUGAAAAAAAAAAAAAUAUAAAACAAUUAAAAAAACAAGAAUGAUUCGACGAUAAAAAUAAUAACCUAAGGCAAAAGAAGGAGGAGAAGGAGAAGAAGGAGAAAGAAAAAAAAAAGAAAAGAAGUAAGAUUUUCCGAUAUGUUGUCCCUUGAAAUUAUUUCUACGCUAUUAUUUCAUUUGUAUGCUGAAUCCUCGAGCAAGGAUAACUCCAUUAGAAAGGAAAGAGCGAGUUGGUCGACGCGCGUUAUCCGACUCACAGGAUAGAAUUUUGUUUUAUUUGCACAUCCUCAACCCAACCCUGUCGUUUGCCUCUACUGGAACCUACUGGCAAAUCAGACUUUCCGUGGAAUUGAAUUCUGAAUUUUGGAAAACGCUUUCCUUCCUUUCUUUCCGGCUUGUUUGUUUAACGAAUCUUCGGCGAUUCGAAUGAAUUUUACAUUCUUUCCACUUCGUUCUGUAUUUCUUUUGUUUUAUUUAUUCACAUCAAAUACACAAUGAAACUGAACGUUCGCGUUUAAUAACAAAAUUGGAUGCAUUUUUUUCCUCUAAAUACGUUAAAGGAAAAAAAGAAACAAAAAAACGGGGAAAAAAAAAAGUAGGAAAAAGGAAAAGAUGUUUCUCAAUUCAACGUUUUUCGAACUUUGCUCUUUUCCAUCGACCGCGCGAGCCUUGAAAGAUAUAUGAUAUAAAGAUAAAAAAAAGAUAAAAAAAAAAAAAUAACCGCGGGUAUUAAAUGAUAAAUACAAUACGAUAAUCUUUCAACGAUAUUUCUUUUUCUUUUUUUUUUCCUAACGUUUUCCACAAUUCAAAUCGUUUUUUACCUAGUCGAUACUAUACACGAGCUAGGAAUCGUUUGGAAAGUAAAAGAACAAGAAAAA